GCAUACCUCUUCAUUUAUGCGUCAUGACUUGUAUCGUCUUGAGCAUAUUGUGGGUUUUCUGUGUUGCAUACCUUUCUAAUGGUAUCGUGUUGAUUGAUCGAAGUCCCUUUUCAUCUUGUGUUGCUUCUUGCGACGCAUGAUGAACCUCGAGGCGGUCUCUAUGUUCCACCACGUUAAUGUUAGCGUGUUGAUGUUGUGGCCCAUUGAGCGUUGCUUGGUUUCGUGGAUACAGAACAUGAUUUGGGCAUAGGGUUACUUGUGACUUGUUUUGUCCUUUAUCAGUGUUCUUUAUAAAGACGGUUCAUGCGCGCCUAGGCUCGUACCUGCGCGAUGUUCUUUGUCGAAGAGGAAUGC
rnacentral:misc_RNA from 1 species